CCAGGGCUGUGGGAGGGAGGCCAGGGCUGCGGGAGGGAAGCUGGCGGGAGGGAGGCCAGGGUCAUGGGAGGGAGGUUGGCGGGAGGGAGGCCAGGGCUGUGGGAGGGAGGUCAGGGCCGUGGGAGGAAGGCUGGAUGGAGGGAGGCCAGGGCUGAGGGAGGGAGGUCGGCAGGAGGGAGGCCAGGGCUGUGGGAGGGAGGUUGGCAGGAGGGCAGCCAGGGCCGUGGGAGGAAGGCCGGUGGGAGGGAGGUCAGGGCCGUGGGAGGGAGGCCGGCGGGAGGGAGGCCAGGGCUGUGGGAGGGAGGCCAGGGCGGCGGGAGGGAGGCCAGGGCCGUGGGAGGGAGGCCGGCGGGAGGGAGGCCAGGGCCACGGGAGGGAGGCCGGUUGGAGGGAGGCCAGGGCCGCAGGAGGGAGGGCAGGGCUCUGGGAGGGAGGUUGGCGGGAGGGAGGCCAGUGGGUGCUUCUGCGCUCCUGGCACGUCCCGGCUUGCUCUAGCAUUUGCUGGCUGUCGUGAGGAAGGGGCAGGGAUGGGGUCCUGACCUCAGCUCUAGCUGUCACCACACAUACAGUGGCUUGAGUUGCUUGAAGUCACCGCCUCUUGUUCUGUAGGUCCUGGUGUCACUGGUCCAUAGGUUUAAAGCUGGGGUGGCAGAGCUGUGUGGCCCCCAUAAGGUCAGUGGCAGCCUUUGCCUUCUGCCUUGUAGCCUGACACCAGGGCCGAGACCAUGUCCCCUGCCCGAGACCACGGAACCACCUGGAGGCCGCAGCAUCGCCUGGCUGGGGCAGCAGGCCCUGCACCCUGGGCAGCUGGCAUCUGUGUGAGGACAGUGCAGCUGGCUCCCCAGGAAGACGCAGAGGUGGAGACACCCCCACAGGAAACAGCAGAGGGGACUGGGCUGUGAGACCAAGGCGCUUACUGGAAAGUGUGACAAACUUGACUCCAACAAAACUAGAAACUAAUUUUUUUUGUUGUGUUUGAGAUGGAGUCUUCCUCUAUCACCCAGGUUGGGGUGCAGUGGCACCAUCUUGGCGCACUGAAACCUCCACCUCCUGGGUUCAAGUGAUUCUCCUGCCUCAGCCUCGUGUGUCACCACGUCAGGCUAAUAUUUUUUUUAAGUAGAGAUGGGGUUUCACCAUGUUGUCCAGGCUGGUCUAGAACUCUUGACCUCAGGUGAUCCACCCACCUUGGCCUCCCAAAGUGCUAGGAUUACAGGUGUGAGCCACCGCGCUGGGCCGAAACUAAUGUUUAUUAAGAGGUGGCGCUGCUGGAUGCACUGGCUCAUGCCUAUAAUCCCAGCACUUUGGGAGGCCCAGGCUGGAGGAUUACAUGAGCCUGGGAGAUCAAGACCGGCCUGGGCAGCACAGGGAGAUCCCGCCACUACAAAAAAUAAAAAUUAGUUGGGUUCGAUGGUGUGUGCCUGUAGUCCCAGCUACAUAGAGGGAGGCUGAGGCAGGAGGAUCACUUGAGCCUGGAGGCCAAGGCUGUGUGAGGCCAAGUGAGCUAUGAUCUCGUUGCUGCACCCCAGCCUGGGCAGCAGAGUGAGCCCCCAUCUGAAAAAAAAAACCCGUUAGUGAGAUCCGGCUGCAGUGUCUUGCACGGAUUCCUAUUCUGUCCGGCUCCGCCUUCCUGGCCUCUGCCUCCCUUUGUUGCUACUUCCCGGGCUCCUUCACUUGGGCCUGGCCCACCCUGCCUGGAGGGAUGAGGCUGAUCGGGACUCCGGCCAGGUCAGGACCACAACUUCGGGGGCCUGUGGCAGUUGCACCUCCCGCUGCACCCAGCUUUGGUUGGACAGGAGUGUUUCUCUUUUUUGAGACAAGGUCCUGCUGUCACCAGUGGCACAGUCACAGCUCGCUGCAGCCUCCAUCUCCCAGCCUCAAGCGAUCCUCCCACCUGAGCCUGCUGAGUAGCUGGGGCUACAGGUGCAUGCUGCCAUGCCCAGCUAAUUUUUGUAUUUUUAGUUUUAGUAGACAGGGUUUCACCAUGCCCCUCAGGCUAGUCUCAAACUCCUGGCCUCAAGUGAUCUGCCUGCCUCUACCUCCCAAAGUGCUGGGAUUGAGCCACUGCGCCCGGCCAGAGAGUAGUGUAUGCAUGUGUUUUUUUUUUUUUUUUUUUUGAGACAGUCUCACUCUGUUGCCCAGGCUGGAGUGCAGUGGCAUGAUCUCGGCUCACUGCAACCUCUGCCUCCCAGGUUCAAGUGAUUCUCCUGCCUCGGCCUCCUGAGUAGCUGGGACUACAGGUGCACACUGCCACACCUGGCUUAUUUUAGAGAGAGGGUUUCACUAUGUUGGCCAGACUGGUCUCGAACUUCUGACCUCAAGUGAUCCGCCCACCUCAGCUUCCCAAAAUGCUGGGAUUGCAGACAUGAGCCACUGCACUCAGCCGGAGAGAAGUGUGUCUAAGUGGCUCUUGUUUAUCUCACGGGGGCCCUGACAGCUCAGUCCACAUGGCCCUUGUCUACCCCGUGUCCUUGUGCAUGGUUGUGGCUGGUGGCUGUGGAGUCCUGUGUCUGUGCUCAUCUCUGGCUGCGUGGCCUGCAUGUGCCCACACUGGCUCACCGUUGUCUGUACCCCUGCCCAGGCUCCUUGACUGCUGGGAGCACUGGGUCUGGAGCCAUCCCUUCCUCACAGUGGUUGGAGGGUGUCCUGCCCGGCCUCUUGCCGUCUGGCUGUGCUGGGCUGGUCCCUCACUCAGUCAUUCCACCUGAAGUCACGUGGUGCCUAAUAAUGUGCCAUUCCGUGGGGCCCCAUGGCCACAUCCCAGAGGGAAGAGCAAAUGCCGUAGAGGAAAGUGCUCAAAACCGGAGGACACAGGUGCCCAAGGGGACCAGCUGCGAGGGGGGCACAAGCUGAGAACAGGUAGGGCCAGGGCCCAGGCUUCUGCCCCCAGCUACUGGUGGGGAGGUUCUGGGGCUCAGGUGGGCUUGUGAGGGGCGGCUGGACUAGGUGGGAUUUGGCCGACUGGGGCACAGGAUCAGCGGCUGUCUUGGUUGUGGGUGUGAUGAAGAGAGCCAUGGUGGCUGGGCCCAUGGUUGGUGGUCUGAGAGCUGGGCAGGCUGGGGUGGGCACCACUACUUGAGAACCCUGCUCGGACCUGCCAACAACCUUCAGCCUUGGCAUCUUAGUGAGUGUCGGGUGGGCGGUUGGCUGCGUGAACCUGGAAUUUGGGGCUGGAGAAUGGAAUGUGAGAAGCCAGGGCAUGGUGGGAGGCAGAGCAGGGCCCCGGAUGCGGUAGCUGGGGUGCAAGUGGGGGUGUGGGCAAGUGGCGGGUCUUGGUGACCAAGUAAAGACAGUGCUUCCGGAUGGAGGGGCUCGUCACACCCAGUACAGGCUGUGAUACACGGCUGACCUCACCUGUGCUGCUGAGGAUCAUGCUUGGAGUGGGGUUGCACACCUGACGGGGGCUGAGGAGGGCCGGAGGGCCAUGCUCUCGCCAGGUCAGGGUCCUGCUAUGAGCUGCAGGGGUUUGGGCUGCAGCCUCCUAAAUUUGGGGCCUGUAUGUUUUUUAAAUGAACCUGGGAUUUGCUUUGAUCAGGGAGGGUGACACACAGGCUCAGGAAUGACUGUCUUGUUGGAAGAAAGUUACUUUAUCCACAGAGAUUGGGGGCCGCUCCAUACACCUGGGUGUUUGGGGUGGAAGAACGUGUAAGAUGUCAGCAUCAAAACUACAGAAAAGUGUGGUGUGGUGGCUCAUGCCUGUAAUCCCACCGCUUUGGGAGACCAAGGCAGGUGAACCACUUGAGGUCAAGAGUUCGAGACCAGCCUGGUCUACACAGUGAAACCCCAUCUCUACUAAAAAUGCCAAAUAUUAGCUGGACGUGGUGGCAGGCGCCUGUAAUCCCAGCUACUCAGGAGGCUGAGGCAGGAGUAGUGCUUGAACCUGGGAGGCAGAAGUUGCAGUGGGCUGAGAUCACGCCACUGCACUCCAGCCUGGGUGAUGUGAGUGAAACUCUGUCUCAAAAACAAACCAACAAACCAAAACUAUAGAAAAAGACACACCUAGUGCAGUGGUACAGCAGCCGCCAUGACCUCAGCUAAUAGAAAACGUGUGGGUCUUGAAGUGGGGGACUGGAGGGGAUGCCCGCUGGGCUGGAGGGCGCGCCGGGCUGGCAGGGGUACCAGGGUGGAGAGGACACCCCGCUGGAGGGGGUGCCGAGCUGGUGGGGGGCGGUAGGCUGGUGGAGCCUUGGGCAGGUGGGGGCACUGGGCCAGUUGGGGUGCUGGAAGGGACCGCCGGGCUGGAGGGGGGUCCCAGGCUGGUGAGGGCAUCGGGCUCAGGGCACAGGGAGGAAGAGACCCGGGUGUUACUGGUGAGGGCCGUAUGUACCUGGCUCCACGUCUCCCUGGGAGGUGGGCUGGAGCAAGGCCUUGUCGAUGUGAGAGCAGAAAGGAAGGGCAGUAGAGAGGGAGAGAGCUGGGGUCUUUCCUGUGGGAAGAGCCUGCUGCUCAUGACCCAGACUUCGGGGGGUUCAAGAGUCAAGUAGCCACAAAGUCCCAGUGACACCCCGUGAACCGAAGGGCCAGGGCCUCGCUGUGAGCAUCCUAGGGCGAGGCCAUUGACAGUGAGGGCAGAGCCGCUGGGUGAGUGGCUGUGGGGCACUGACCAGAUGCCCACUGCUGGGUUUUUUUUUUUUUUGAGACGGAGUUUCGCUCUUGUUACCCAGGCUGGAGUGCAAUGGCGCAAUCUCGGCUCACCGCAACCUCCGCCUCCUGGGUUCAAGCGAUUCUCCUGCGUCAGCCUCCCGAGUAGCUGGGAUUACAGGAAUGCGCCACCAUGCCCAGCUAAUUUUUGUACUUUUAGUAGAGAUGCUUUUGCCAUGUUGGCCUGGCUGGUCUCAAACUCCUGACCUUGGGUGAUCUGCCCACCUCGGCCUCCCAAAAUGCUGGGAUUACAGGUGUGGGCCGCCACACCUGGCCUAGAUUUUUAAAGACUUUUCUAAGUACACAAUUAUAUUACUUGCAAAAACCAGCUGUAGUUUAGGCUGGGCACAGUGGCUCACACCUGUAAUCCCAACACUGGGAAGCCAAGGCGGGAGGAUCAUUUCAAGUCAUCCAAGUCCAGGAGUUUGAGACCAGCUCAGGCAACACUGUUAGACACCAUAUCGACAAAAAAAUUAAAAAAACGUAGCUGGUGUGGUGGUGUGCACUUGUAUUCCCAGCUGCUCUGGAGACUGACGCAGGCGAUUGUCAGAGCCUGUGUGUGAGGUUGAGACUGCAGUGGGCCGUAAUCACGCCACUGCUCUCCAGCGUGCACAGAGCGAGACCCUCUUUAAAAACAAGAAAAAAGGCCUGGUGGGGUGUUUCACACCUGUAAUCCCAGCACUCUGGGAGGCUGAGGUGGGUAGGUCACCUGAGGUCAGGAGUUUGAGACCAGCCUGGCCAACAUCGUGAAACUCAGUCUUUACUAAAAAUACAAAAAAAUUAGCCAGGUAUGGUGGCAGAUGCCUGUAAUCUCACCUACUUGGGAGGCUGAGGCAGGAGAAUGCUUGAACCUGGGAGGAGGAGGUUGCAGUGAGCUGAGACUGCCACCGCACUCCAGCCUGGGCAACAGAGGGAGAGCCUGUCAAAAAAAAAAAAGAAAAAGAGAGAGACAUGGACAGGAGAGUCACAGACCCACGAAGGCAGAGCCCCAGCAAGAAGGUGGAGUGAAGUCUGAGCACAGGACAGGCCCUCCUCUGGGGCCUUUGGAGGGAGUAGGGCCCUGCCAACACCUUGAGCUUGGCCUUCUGGCCACCUCCACAGCAGUGAGAGAAUAGAUUCCUGCUGUUUUAAGCUGCCGAGUUUGUUGUGAUUCGUUCUGGCAGCCACAGGAGAGGAAUCUACCCCCUUCCCCCAGCACCAGGAAGGCGGGUCGGGAGCUGGGCCCGGCGAAAGGGCGGCACCGGGAGGGAUUUUCCGGUCGAACCAGCCUCACUUCGCGGUUUAGCCCCAGCUGCAGCCGAUGAGAUGACCCUUUCCUAGGUUGCUGGAUUCAGUUUGUGGAUGCUUUUGUCUGGGAUUUUGCCUCUAUGUGCGUGAGUGAAACUGGCCUAUAAUUUCCAUUUCUUGUUAUGUCCAUGCCUGGUUUUGGUGUCAAAGGGAAGAUGGCUUCAAAAGAUGAGUCGGGGAUUACUCUUUUAUUUUUUUCACUUCUAAAAGAACUUUUCUUGGGGCUUGGCAUGGUGGCUCAUGCCUGUAAUCCCAGCACUUUGGGAGGCUGGGGCAGGUGGAUCACAUGAGGGCAGGAGUUCAAGACCAGCCUGGCUAACAUGGUGAGUAAAACCCUGUCUCUACCAAACAUACAGAAGAAUUAGCCAGGCUGGCGAUGAGUGCCUGUAGCCCCAGCUGCUUGGGAGGCUGAGGCAGGAGAAUCGUUUGAACCCAGGAGAUCGUGGUUGCCACGAGCUGAGAUUGAGCUCUUGCACUCCAGCCUGUUCAACAGAGAGACUCUCUCAAGAAACAACACGAAACAAAACUUUUUUGGGGGUAAAAUUUGACCAUUUCUUCCGUGAGUGUCUGCAGCAGGUUGUUACUGAUGCCGUCUGCUUGGAGCUGUCUUCGUGGGAAAGCUUUUAUGAAUGGACUCAACUGCUUUUGUUAUUCCAAGAUGAUUCCAGUUUUCUGUUUCUUUUUGGAACAUGGAUGGAGCUGAAGACCAUUAUCCUUAGCAAGCUAAUGCAGAAACCUAAACCAAAAUACAUGUUUUCCCUUACAAGUGGGAGCUAAAUGAUGAGAACACAUGGACACAUAGAGGGGAACAACUGCCACUGGCCUAUCGGAGGGUGAAGGGUGGGAGGAGGGGGAGGAUCAGGUAAAUAACGAAUGAGUACAAAGGCUUAGUACCUGGGUGAUGAACUAAUCUGUACAACAAACCCCCUUUACACAAGUUCACAAAUCUGCACGUGUUUGUUCACCCCUGAACAUAAACGUUAAAUAAAUCAUUACAUAGGUCUAUUCUGCAUACAAAUCUUUUGUUUGAUAUGUGAUUCACAAGUUGGUAUGGUUUGGCGGUGUCCCCACCCAAAUCUCAUCUUAAUUGUAGUUCCCAUGAUCCCCACAUGUUGUGGGAGGGGCCCAGCAAGAGGUAAUUGAAUCAUUGGGGCAGUUACCCCCAUGCUAUUCUUCUCUUGAUAGUGAGUUCUCACAAGAUCUGAUGGUUUUUUACUGGGCUUUUCCCCCUUCUCCCGCCGCCAUGUGAAGAAGGCUGUGUUGCUUGCUUCCCCUUCCACCACGAUUCUAAGUCUCUUGAGGCCUCCCCAGGCAUGCGGAACUGUGAGUCCAUUAAACCUUUUUCCUUUAUAAAUUACCCAGUCUUGGGUAUGUCUUCAUAGCCGCGUGAGAACGGACUCAUACACAAUACUUUCUCCGGCAUAUAACUUGUCUUUUCAUUCUCUCAUCAGUGACGUUUACACAGAAAAAAGGUUUAAAUUUUGAUGAAAUCCAAUUUAUCAAUUUAUCUUUUAUGGAUUGAGCUUUUGCUGUUGUGUUGAAGAAUAUUUUUAGCCUUGGCCCAGGUUGUGAAGAUUUCUUCUUUUUCUUCUAAAGGUUUCGUGGCGUUUUGCUUGACAUUUAGACCUGUGAUCAUUUUGAGUUAAUUUUUGCAUAAGGAAUGAGGAUCUAGGUUGAGAAUCCUUUUUUUCUCCCCACACAGAUGUCCAAUUUGGUGAAAAUACUAUCUUUCCAAUGUCAGUUCACCUUUGCACUUUAGUUAAAAAUUAAUUACCACUUUCAGAAAGCUAGGAGUGGAAGGGAAUUUCCUCGACCUGAUGAAAGAGGUCUGCUAAGCCCCAUAGCUAACAUUCUACUUGAUGGUAAAAGGCAGGAUGCUGGCCUGGUGCGGUGGCUCAAGCCUGUAAUCCCAGCACUUUGGGAGGCCGAGGCGGGUGGAUCAUGAGGUCAACAGAUCGAGACCAUCCUGGUCAACAUGGUGAAACCCCCGUCUCUACUAAAAAUUACCAAAAAAAAUUAGCUGGGCACGGUGGCGCGUGCCUGUAAUCCCAGCUACUCAGGAGGCUGAGGGAGGAGAAUUGCCUGAACCCAGGAGGCGGAGGUUGCGGUGAGCCGAGAUCGCACCAUUGCACUCCAGCCUGGGUAACAAGAGCGAAACUCCGUCUCAAAAAAAAAAAAAAAAAAAAAAAGCAGGAUGCUCUCCACCUGGGAUCAAAAACAAGACCAGGAUGUCCCCUCUCACUACUUCUAUUCAACAUUGUACUGGAGGCUCUAGCCAGGGCAAUUCAGCAAGACAAAGGAAUAAAGGACAUCCAGAUGAAGAGGUAAGACUGUCUCCCUGCAGAUGACAUAAUCUUACACAUAGAAAAAUCCUCAGAAAUGCACUAAAAAUAUGAACACUAAUGAAGUUCAUCAAGGUUGCAGAAUCUCGUGAUCACUGUGCAAACAUCCAUGGUAUUUCUCUAAACUGAAAUCAAGUCAAAAAAUUUCAUUUGGGGUUCAAAGUGGCUCCAGCCGGAGGUCGUGGCGCUUGCGAAGGCGAGGUCAUGAGUUCAAGGCUAACCUGAGCAACCUCAUAAGCUCAAACUGAUUGGCAAAAAAAAAAAAAAAAAAUUAUUUAUAGCAGAGUCAAAAAGAAUUAAACACAUUCUACAGAAGAA